rnacentral:sRNA from 1 species
GAUUUGCGUGAGGGAUUGUAGUGGAGCUCUUUUUUGGCGCCUUUUUUGAAGGUGCCAAAAAAAGCGGGAACAGAAAGCCCGACCCAAA